rnacentral:rRNA from 1 species
GGCGGCGUGCCUAAUACAUGCAAGUAGAACGCUGAAGGAGGAGCUUGCUUCUCCGGAUGAGUUGCGAACGGGUGAGUAACGCGUAGGUAACCUGCCUGGUAGCGGGGGAUAACUAUUGGAAACGAUAGCUAAUACCGCAUAAGAGUAGAUGUUGCAUGACAUUUGCUUAAAAGGUGCAAUUGCAUCACUACCAGAUGGACCUGCGUUGUAUUAGCUAGUUGGUGGGGUAACGGCUCACCAAGGCGACGAUACAUAGCCGACCUGAGAGGGUGAUCGGCCACACUGGGACUGAGACACGGCCCAGACUCCUACGGGAGGCAGCAGUAGGGAAUCUUCGGCAAUGGACGGAAGUCUGACCGAGCAACGCCGCGUGAGUGAAGAAGGUUUUCGGAUCGUAAAGCUCUGUUGUAAGAGAAGAACGAGUGUGAGAGUGGAAAGUUUCACAACUGUGACGGUAUCUACC